AAGGGGACCAGUGAGUCUGGUGGUGGUGUUACGGGUGUGCCCACUGAUGAGACGUGCAUACACAGCCAGGACCGAAUGAAUAACUCGCUUCCAGGCGAGGAAGAUGCUGCUGGUCCGCAGGCCACACUUGGAUUUGGAUGUUGAACCUUCAUGACAAUCUUUGAACUGAGGGAAACCAGCUCAGAGAAGGUGCUGCACGCUGACCACAGCAGACAGGACCCAGAUCUGGAGUCGGCCCCUCAUGGUCACCAAGAGAGAUGCGUCCACGUGUCCUGGUCUUAGGAGAAGUUAUGAGAGAGGCGAUUGCCGAAAUAAACAGAGA